AUAUUUCAUUGUUAGGGUAAAGAAAUGCACAGAUUUCUGUAUAUUAAUCUUGUAUCCUGCUACCUUACUGAAUUCAUUUAUUAGUUCUAAUAGUUUUUGUGUGGAGUCUUUAUUGAGUUGUCCAUACAGAGUAUCAUGUUAUCUACAUAUAAUAACAAUUUUACCUCUUCCUUUCCAAUUUGGAUAAAUUUUCUUUCUUUCUCUUGCCUGUGGCUGGGUUAAGCAGUCUAUAUACUUCUAUGCUGUGCAAAAAUUCUACAAUAAAAACAUAUUCAUAAGUUAUUUUUGUAAUUAAAAAAAUACAUGGACCAUAACAUCUAUCAGAAUAUCUAAAAUAAAAAGACUGCACCAUUAAGUGUUGAGGAGGAUGUGGAGCAAUUGAAUUUCUCAUACUUUGUUGGUGGGAGUGUAAAUCAGGUACAAUCACUUUGGGAAACAGGAGUUUCCAAUAACAUUAAAUAUAUUCGUAUCCUAUGACCCAUUCUCUGGUGGUCUAGUGGUUGGGACAGGGCAUCUUCACCACCAGGUUCAGUCCCUGGUCUGGAAACUGAGAUUCCACAACAAGCUGCUGCACCCCACAGCUAAUAAAUAAAUAAAUACGAAUUUAACAUGUAAAAAAAAGAAGAAUGGAUAAACACACUGCAGAAUAGUCACACAAUGGAAUACUACUCAGCAAAAAGAUAAGAUAAAUCUGAUAGAUGAAACAAUAUGGAUAAAUCUCAAAAACAUUAUGUUGAGGACAAACACAAAAGAGAUCAUCCUGAUUUAUGAAGUUCGAGACCUGGAAAGGAAACUUUCUCAGGAGAUGGAAAUGUCUGUGUUUUGACACAGGUUGUAGUCAUACAGAUAUACAUAGAUUAAAGUCAUCCAGUUGUAACACCUAAAAUUACUGCACUUUAUUUAUGUAAAUUAUACAUUAAUAAAAUCCUGGGAAGGAAGGAAGAAAGGAAAGGAGGGAGGGAUCAAUGGAUGAAGAGGCUCACAUAAAGAAUUAUCAAAUGGGAAAAUUUACUUUAAAGGGAGAGUGACUUUAAGAACAGUUAUUACAGAGCAGUUAAGAAACAUUUUCUGUAGCUAAGUAUCACCCUACACAUCUCAUAUUUGAUUUAUCAUAUAAGUACCUUAAUUAAUUCCAACUUAUCUACAAUAUUGGUUUAAGUAUGUAUAAAUAUGUGCCACUGGAUACAUUUUCAUAAAGCUCCUAUUAUGUGAAUAAAAAUUUUAUUUCCCUAUAACAUACUAAUAUCAGAAUGUCAACAGUAUUAGGAGACUCUAGAUGAGAAUUUAAGUAAUUCAUAAAUGAUUUUAUCAAAGCCAUAAACCUUCCGGAAAGCUUGCUCUCUGGAUGCUAAGAUGACUCUGUUUCUGAGCUCACAUCUGGCCCAUCUUCCAUGUAAAAGCUGGCGAGUAAAAUUAAACAGUGGAACUCAAAGACUCCAAACCUGAAAAGCCAUCUGUUAUAAUCACCUAACCUAUAAUGCAGCACUGACAAACCGGAAAAGCAAGCAAUGAACUUGGAAACACAGGGGAAAUAAAUAUGAAUAAAUGUAGCAGAAAUUAUAGGAUUUCUGUACGGUGUAAUGGUUUAUAAUGUGAAAAAGUUAGAUCGAUGAUAGUUAUGUCAAUAUGUUAAGAUUCUCAGAUGACGGUAAAACUUGAAGCUUAUCUUAUUUCUUCUGUAUUUAAAAUGAUUAAGAAAUGUUUAAGUAUUACACUUAUGUAAUGAGGUAAAAUGUUAUUACCUUAAUAGCUGGCAUUAGAAUUUCUCUUAGGAGGAGAAUCGCCAUUGUCUGGAAAAGUAACUUGUUUCUCUGUGUGUGGGUGUUAGUGGGAACCUAAAUCACUAAAGAGAGAGUUAAACUGACUUUCCAUGUAGCAAAGGAAAAAAAAUUUUUUUUUGUUUUGCUCCAGAUAGGAUAAAGGGGAAAAGUGCCAAUGAGAAAGCAUAAGGUUGGGAACUAUAUCAGGUGAAAGGCCAGAAGACACUCUGUGAAGACUGGACUGGCAAAAGGGAGCUUAGGCGUAGGAAUGCCUAAUAUUCAAUUUGAAAUUGUUUGUACUGAUACAGGGGAAACCCCUACUCCUUCUCCCUGAAUCUCCAGUGAGGUCUUCUACAAUCAUGGGGGCUUCAUAUGGAUAGGCUUUUGUGGAAAUUGAAGACAAGGAUCUGUAAAGGCCAUGUUUUCUCAACCUUGGAACCACUGACAUUUUGGGCUAGACAAUUCUUUGUUGUGGGGGCUGUGCCAUGCAUUGUAGGAAGCUGAGCAGCAUACCUGGCCUCUACCCAUUAGAUGCCGAUAGCAUCCUCCCCAGUUAUGACAAUAAAGAAACGUCUCCAAGUGUUGCCAAAUGUCACCUGAGGGACAAAAUCACCCCAUUCAGAAACCGCUAGUUUUCGCCUAUGGAGAGCACACAUGGAGGCAGGAGAUCCUGGAAGGAAAAGUAAACCUGGGAAUGCACGCCCCUUGAGAAUUACCUAGACCUUGAGUUGUUUAGGCUUCCAAAUGUGGGGAGUAGAUCUUAGAGUUCAAAAGGCCUGAGCAGCCCACCUAACAUCUAGGAUAUAAAACUAAAAUAUUUCUACCAAUUAAAAAAAGUUUUUUCUAUUUGUUAAAACAGAAAGGGAGGGGGUAAAAGAUUAAAUCUUUCAAUUUUUUAGCUGACAAGCAAUGCAGAACUACUAUGUUACACAAACACACACAUAUACAGCAUUCUGUAACAAGGUAAGGAGAUAAGGGACAUAACAUCUUUUUUUUUUUUGAGGGGGGGAUGCUAACUCCUCUCUCCUUCCUCCAUAAGGCUUCUCAUAGAAAUUAUCACUGGACUCCGAUCCAGGGAAGGAAGGAAAUGGAAAAGAUCCUGCAAGAACUCCUACAAACCUUGCCUAAUUUGGAGUUUCAAGAAUGA
ensembl:lncRNA